rnacentral:lncRNA from 1 species
GUCACCUGAUGUUCCUGAACUAUGACUCCCACAAAAGGUUGGGAUCCAUCCUUCCUGCUCACCGCUGAACCCCCAACUCCAGGCAGAGCCCCUGUGCAUCGCAGACUCCUGCUGUUGGGAGAAUGAAACACAAGGAAAGCCCAGGACCAGUACCAGGCACAGGGUCAGUGGCGACAGCAUGUCAACAACUCCCCUCCCUUCUGCGCCUGGAGAUUCCUCUUUCUCCUUCAAUACAUAUUUUGAAAUGAUAUUUAUUAACAUAAAAAUUAUAAAACCUUUCAAACAUCCAGAAAAAUAUAAGGAAAAAUACCAAAUAUCCAUGUUCUCACCACUUGGAUUUAACACAUGUGAACAUUUGCCAUGCUUCAGAUCCUCCUUUUAAAACAAAAUUGUAUGACACAGCAAUUGAUGAACGGAUCAUCAGUACAAUGGACUGUUAUUCAGUCGCAGACAGGAAUGAUGUGUGGACUUGCCAUGGUGUGCAUGAGCCUCGAAGACAUGAUGCUGAGUGAAGGAAUCAGACACAAAAUGCUGCAGAUUGUCUGAUCCCAUGUAUUGAAAUGUCCAGCUCAGGCAAAUCCGUGGAGACAGAAAGCAGGCGAGUGUCUACCAGGGGCUGCGGGGAGGGGAUGGGGAGUGACCACUUAGUGGGUACAGGGCUUCCUUUUGGG